rnacentral:rRNA from 1 species
GACGGGUGAGUAACACGUGGGCAACCUGCCUUGUAGAGGGGAAUAGCCUUCCGAAAGGAAGAUUAAUACCGCAUAACAUUACAUUUUCGCAUGAAGAAGUAAUUAAAGGAGCAAUCCGCUACAAGAUGGGCCCGCGGCGCAUUAGCUAGUUGGUGAGGUAACGGCUCACCAAGGCGACGAUGCGUAGCCGACCUGAGAGGGUGAUCGGCCACAUUGGGACUGAGACACGGCCCAGACUCCUACGGGAGGCAGCAUG